GGAAAGGGUGUGCCUAAGAGAGGUUAUUUGGGUGAACGGCCAUUGUAAUCGCUUCUCAUCCGGCACAGGUGGAUAGAGGCAGGAUGGGGGAAGAGGGCUGCCUGGAUCUGGGAUUUCCAAUUCCCCAUACUUCUCAGCCUAUUAGUGAGGGGGAGCUAGAGGAGGGGUGUGGACUUAGCAGAUUAAGAAAGAGAAGCACUUACUCCUUAACAGUGGGAACGAAGGAUGGCAGAGGAAGUUUGAACUCUGAGACAAGAGGAGUGGCCUACCCUGGUGGAGACGGGAGAGGCACGUGUCCUCCACAUGCCUGUCCAAGUGUCUGAUAGGGUGGUCCCUGCUCUGAAGGAUGAGUGUGAGCCGCAGGCCGUGGGGAUGCCCUGAGGAUGUGGGUGUCUGCCUAGUGCUGGGUGGUGCCCAUCUCUGUUUCUCCCCACCCCUCUCCGGAGGUGCUACCAUCGUCCUUUGCCCUCUGCGUGCUCUCCUCUCACCCCUGCUGCCUCUUGUUCUCUUUCUCCCUUGGGCCAUGAAAGUGUCAGGGAGCCCAGCCACGGCCUGGACGGCAGCCUCAGCUCCCAGUUGUCAACAAUUGUGUGUGUAUGUGUGUGUGUGUGUGUGCGUGUGUGUGUGUGCAUGUGUGCAUGCAUACGUGUGAGUGCCUGUGUGUAUGUGUGGGUGUGUAGGGGCUGGGGCUGGGGUCAACAAAGGAUCAGAGCCCAGCAGUAGAGAGUUUCUGGGAGGGUGGCGUUGCCCAUGAGUCGUGCCCUGCACCCUGGAGCCCAGAGGACCCUUCGCUCAAACCCACCACCAGCUGGCAACACCGGAGCAGCCAGAGCCACUUCCUUCGCUGCGCAGAGGAGCCUGGGAGAAGCCAGAGGUGCUCGAGGAUGGAUUCCUGGCUCCUGGUGCACUGCCACUCCGUGCCACCCACCUCCUAGUUUUCUGUCUUCUCCUGGUGGCAUCAGGCCUUGCUUCGUGUCCCACCAGGAGUUUCUGGGGCUGGGACAGUCCUGGCUGUCUACAACCUGGGCCUGGUCGAUCUCUCAGGGUACGUCUGGGAGGUCAUGACCACCCUGCUCCUGGCUAACUGCAGCUACUUCCGUCAGCCAGUGGACUACGGCUGGAGCAAGUGUGGAAUGAGGGUAUGGCAGGGAGCAGAAGGUAAGCAGAAGGUUAGGAGGGAGAACUUCAUAACAAUCUGAGGUCAAGGAGGUGUUGCCUGAGCCUUUCGAUGAGAGGCAGGGGACUGGCUGGUUAUGUGCAGGCUUUGGAGUCGGAUGACCUUGGACCUCAGGUUGGAUCUCAGCUCUGCCAUUUCCUUGCUGUGUGAUUGUGGGUGGCACACCUAACUUUUCUGGGACUCAAUUCUCUUACCUACAAAAUUGAGAUGAUAAUACCUAUUUUCUAAAGGGAAAUGAUUGAAAGAAGAUGGAAUCAGAUAGUAUAUGAUAGAUCAUAUAUGAAAGUGUUUAGCAUGGGGCAGCACACACUGAGUGGUAGCUAAGUGGUAGCUUCAUCACUGUUAGCUGUUCUCCGUUUCCACUGGAAGCAGAAAAAAAAAAACCUUCCUUGUAACAAAAGACUCUAGCUGAGGCUUGUCACCAGGUAGCUGAGGCUUGUCACCAGGUGAUAUGUAUGUUGAGUCACUGGAUGUUGGUGAUGGGCUGAAGUCCUGUGACUCAAAGUAUGAUCCUGGGGCUGACAGCAUCAGCAUCAUCUGGGAGCUUGUGGGAAAUGCAGAAUCUCACGUUCCACCCCAUGCACACCGAUUAAGAAUCUGCUUUUCAAUGAACAAAAUGCCCACAUGCUCAUUAGAUUGCAAGGUUCUGGGCUGGGGCACAUUGGGAGAGUCCUUCUGUGGUCACUCCAGUAGCUUCUCCCCUUCUUUCCUGUGCUAACAGGCAUCUACCUGCAGACAGGUAGGACUGUGUGAUCAGCGGUGCAUAGAACAGUGAGGAUUCGAGGCUGAACCCAGACCAGCAAGGACGAGCUGUGGCACCAGCAGGACUGCAGUCUGAUGAACUUCCCCUUUCUGCCCAGCAGAUGGCGAGCGUGUGCUGCUGGUGCCGCUUUCUGAAGGCUGUUGAAUUGCAUGACAGGUGUUCUUUACUUUAUGAAUGAAAGCAAAGCAGCCCACCUUUCUGCAACUCUACCGCCAUGGCGCCAUGCCCUGUGAUGGUUGGUCUGGAGUCGAAUAUGC